rfam:Brachypodium distachyon strain Bd21 chromosome 5, whole genome shotgun sequence.
CAUGUACUCCCUCCGUCCCAUAUUAAGUGUCGCAACUUUGUCUAGAUAUGCAUGUAUCUAGACGUGUUUUAGUGUGUAAAUACAUGCAUAUCUAGACAAAGUUGUUACACUUAAUAUGGGACGGAGGGAGUACUAG